rnacentral:hammerhead_ribozyme from 1 species
AUCCAGCUGACAAGUCGCAAAUAUGACGAAACACGCGUCUUGGAU